rnacentral:rRNA from 1 species
GACGAACGCUGGCGGCAUGCCUAACACAUGCAAGUCGAACGAGACCUUCGGGUCUAGUGGCGCACGGGUGCGUAACGCGUGGGAACUUGCCCUUAGGUUCGGAAUAACUCCCCGAAAGGGGUGCUAAUACCGGAUAAUGUCUUCGGACCAAAGAUUUAUCGCCUUUGGAUGGGCCCGCGUUGGAUUAGCUAGUUGGUAGGGUAAAAGCCUACCAAGGCGACGAUCCAUAGCUGGUCUGAGAGGAUGAUCAGCCACACUGGGACUGCGACACGGCCCAGACUCCGACGGGAGGCAGCAGUGGGGAAUAUUGGACAAUGGGCGAAAGCCUGAUCCAGCAAUGCCGCGUAAGAGAUGAAGGCCUUAGGGUUGUAAAGCUCUUUUACCCGAGAUGAUAAUGACAGUACCGGGAGAAGAAGCACCGGCUAACUCCGUG